CCUCGCUCUGACCACACGUCGCGUUACUUCGAACCGAUAUCGACACGUGCGUGGCGCAACCCUAUACCGUUCUAUUUUCAAAACGCACCUUGUGUUGUGACUUGCGUUGCACUGGAAUUUUUAUAUUUUUCUAACUGAUACCCUCCGGUGUAUAGUGUAGUGCGGGUAGUAGUGGCGGAUAUGCGCAGUGCACGGCCCGCGCUGGACAGGUGACACUCGUGUUUGAUGCCAGUGCCGUGUGUAUUAUGACCGUUUGGUACGAUACGAGUCGUCGGAAGUACGGUAGCUGGUCAAAAAUGGCGACGAAAGUCGCUUCACAUAUAUCACGGACGACGGUUGUGUGGCUCGUAUUAGCUUUAGUUAGU